rfam:Heligmosomoides polygyrus genome assembly, scaffold: HPBE_scaffold0007327
GCGCCGGUGGUGUAAGGCGAACAUCGGUGCCCGGAAAGCAGAAGAUGCGGGUUUGAGUCCCGCCUGGCACA